rnacentral:rRNA from 1 species
GACGAACGUUGGCGGCGUGCUUAAUACAUGCAAGUCAACUGAAGCACCGGUAGUAAUACUGGUGUGGAGGUGGCGCACGGUGAGUAACACGUAGGUAAUCUGCCUUCAGGUCUGACAUAACCCCGAGAAAUCGGGGCUAAUAGCAGAUGAUGCAGCGGCUUGACAUCAAGACAGUUGUUAAAGCUUCGGCGCCUGAAGAUGAGCCUGCGUCUGAUUAGCUAGUUGGCGGAGUAAUAGCCCACCAAGGCGACGAUCAGUAGCUGGUCUGAGAGGAUGAUCAGCCACACUGGAACUGAGACACGGUCCAGACUCCUACGGGAGGCAGCAGUAAGGAAUAUUGCUCAAUGGGAGAAAUCCUGAAGCAGCAACGCCGCGUGAGGGAUGAAGGGCUUUUGCUCGUAAACCUCUGUAGUGAGGGAAAAAAUUUCCAUUCUAUGGAAUAUGAUGGUACCUC